rnacentral:rRNA from 1 species
AGAGUUUGAUCCUGGCUCAGAGUGAACGCUAGCGGCGUGGUUAAGACAUGCAAGUCGAGCGAUGAAGUCCCUUCGGGGAUGGAAUAGCGGCAAACGGGUGCGUAACACGUGAGCAACCUGCCUUGAAGUGGGGGAUAGCCCGGGGAAACCCGGAUUAAUACCGCAUGUGGUCCCUUCUCGCAUGAGAAGUGGACCAAAGCUUGUAAAGGCGCUUCAAGAGGGGCUCGCGGCCUAUCAGCUUGUUGGUGAGGUAAAGGCUCACCAAGGCGAAGACGGGUAGCUGGUCUGAGAGGAUGAUCAGCCACACUGGGACUGAGAUACGGCCCAGACACCUACGGGUGGCAGCAGUUUCGAAUCAUUCACAAUGGGGGAAACCCUGAUGGUGCAACGCCGCGUGGAGGAUGAAGGCCUUCGGGUUGUAAACUCCUGUCACCAGGGAACAAACAGCCGGUUCGUAGCCGGCUCUGAGUUAACCUGGAGAGGAAGAGGUGGCUAACUCCGUGCCAGCAGCCGCGGUAAUACGGAGACCUCAAGCGUUACUCGGAUUCACUGGGCGUAAAGAGUAUGUAGGCUGUCUGGUAUGUUAGGUGUGAAAGCCCGGGGCUCAACCUCGGAAUUGCGCCUGAAACUACCGGACUCGAGGCCUGGAGAGGGGAGUGGAAUUCCUGGUGUAGCGGUGAAAUGCGUAGAUAUCAGGAGGAACACCAAUGGCGGAGGCAGCUCCCUGGACAGGUUCUGACGCUGAGAUACGAAAGCGUGGGUAGCGAAAGGGAUUAGAUACCCCUGUAGUCCACGCCGUAAACGUUGUACACUAGGCUUCGGAGGGCCUACCCCUUCGGAGCUCCAGCUAACGCGUUAAGUGUACCGCCUGAGGACUACGGCCGCAAGGCUAAAACUCAAAGGA